UCCUUAUUUUGAUUGUCACAGUUUUCUAUUUGCAAUUGAGGUUUUGUUUUGAUCAAAGUUGGGUUAUGCAGGUAAAUGGGGGAUAUCUACAAAUUUUGAUGGUACACGGCUUUUCAUUAACGACAAUUUUGAUCAGAUGCUGACAUUCAAGGAAAAAAUCUUAAUACAAUGUUGGGUCGAAGAUGCUGGAGAAUGAACUUAAGCGUAUUUUGGAUGCCGUUUAUGAUGUGGAUUUAUGUUCUUCUCAGUCUUCCACUAA